rnacentral:rRNA from 1 species
UACGUAGGGUGCAAGCGUUAAUCGGAAUUACUGGGCGUAAAGCGUGCGCAGACGGUUUUUUGUAAGCCAGAUGUGAAAAGCCCCCGGGCGUCAACCCUAGGGAACGUGCGUUUGGUAACGUAACAAGACUAGAGUGUGUCAGAGGGGGGUGGGAAUUCCGCGUGUAGCAGUGAAAUAGCGUAGAGAUGCGGAGGAACACCGAUGGCGAAGGCAGCCCCCCUGGGAGUAACACUGACGCUCAUGCACG